rnacentral:rRNA from 1 species
AUUGAACGCUGGCGGCAUGCCUUACACAUGCAAGUCGAACGGCAGCACGGGAGCAAUCCUGGUGGCGAGUGGCGAACGGGUGAGUAAUAUAUCGGAACGUGCCCAGUCGUGGGGGAUAACGUAGCGAAAGCUACGCUAAUACCGCAUACGAUCUAUGGAUGAAAGCGGGGGAUCGCAAGACCUCGCGCGAUUGGAGCGGCCGAUAUCAGAUUAGGUAGUUGGUGGGGUAAAAGCUUACCAAGCCUGCGAUCUGUAGCUGGUCUGAGAGGACGACCAGCCACACUGGAACUGAGACACGGUCCAGACUCCUACGGGAGGCAGCAGUGGGGAAUUUUGGACAAUGGGCGCAAGCCUGAUCCAGCAAUGCCGCGUGCAGGAUGAAGGCCUCGGGUUGUAAACUGCUUUGUACGGAACGAAACGGCCCUUUCUAAUACAGGGGUUAAUGACGGUACCGUAAGAAUAAGCACCGGCUAACUACGUGCCAGCAGCCGCGGU